rnacentral:rRNA from 1 species
UCAAGCUACUAAGAGCACUAGGUGGAUGCCUUGGCGCCAAGAGCCGAUGAAGGACGUGGCAGGCUGCGAAAAGCUUCGGGGAGUCGCGAGCAGACAGUGAUCCGAAGAUGUCCGAAUGGGGAAACCCGGCUGGGGUAAUGCCCAGUCAUCGGUGGCUGAAUACAUAGGCCACCGGAAGGUAAGCCAGCGAACUGAAACAUCUAAGUAGCUGGAAGAGAAGAUAUCAAUUCCCUGAGUAGUGGCGAGCGAAAAGGGAACAGUCCAAACCGCGACAGCGUGAUAGGCGGGAGCCGUUGCUGUCUCGGGGUUGUAGGAGUCAACUUUCGAAUCCUCCCGGAUUCGAGCGAAGUCACAAAUCUGAUCGUUAGGUGAACCUGCUUGGAAAGGCAGGCCAUAGAGGGUGAGAGCCCCGUAACCGAAAGCGAUCAGACUUCGUGGUUGAUCACCUGAGUAACGCGUGGAAGGUCUCUCAUGCGUGAACCUAGGGGGACCACCCUCUAAGACUAAAUACUCUUGGCGACCGAUAGUGAACAAGUACCGUGAGGGAAAGGCGAAAAGAACCCCGUAAGGGGAGUGAAAUAGAACCUGAAACCGAGUGCUUACAAACAGUCAGAGCACUAUGUUGGAAACAACAGUGUGAUGGCGUGCCUUUUGAAGAAUGAGCCGACGAGUUACUGCUGUGUGGCAAGGUUAAGUCCGAGAAGGACGGAGCCGUAGCGAAAGCGAGUCUCAAUAGGGCGUUGAGUCGCAUGGCGUAGACCCGAAACCGGGUGACCUAUCCAUGGCCAGGUUGAAGCGGGGGUAAUACCCCGUGGAGGACCGAACUGGUGAAUGUUGAAAAAUUCUCGGAUGAGCUGUGGAUAGCGGAGAAAUUCCAAUCGAACCCGGAGAUAGCUGGUUCUCCCCGAAAUAGCUUUAGGGCUAGCCUCGGGCGUUCAAUCAUGGGGGUAGAGCACUGGAUGGACUAGGGGGCUUCCCGCUUACCAAAUCCAACCAAACUUCGAAUCCCAUGAUUCAAGAGCCCGGGAGUCAGACUACGAGGGCUAAGCUUCGUGGUCCCAAGGAAAACAGUCCAGAUCGCCAACUAAGGUCCCUAAAUCAACGCUAAGUGGUGAACGAUGUGGGAUUGCAUAAACAACCAGGAUGUUGGCUCAGAAGCAGCCAUCAUUGAAAGAGUGCGUAACAGCUCACUGGUCAAGUGAUCCCGCGCGGAAAAUUUAACGGGGCUCAAGCGUUGUACCGAAGUUGCGAAAUCGUCGCCCAGCUUGCUGGCCGACGAUUGGUAGGGGAGCGUUCCGCUUGCAGUGAAGGCAGACCGGAAGGACUGCUGGAGCGAGCGGAAGUGCGAAUGUCGGCAUGAGUAGCGAAAUGUGAGUGGGAAUCUCACACACCGUAUGGCCAAGGUUUCCUGAGCAAGGCUCGUCCUCUCAGGGUUAGUCGGUCCUAAGCCGAGGGCGAACGCCGUAGGCGAUGGACAUCUGGUUGAUAUUCCAGAACCACCAAAGACCGUUUGCACCGCAAGGUGUCGCCGGGCGAAGGCGGAGGGUGGCUCUCUGACGCAAGUCAGGGGGUACUCCGAGUUGACGUCAGGUGGGAGCAAGGGCAUGACGGGGUCUGGUAGUUCGAGCGUGCUAUGGAAUGCACGUCCAAGCUCGUAGGGGGUGGGACUAGGUAAAUCCGGUCCCGCAUUCAACUCUGAAAAGCGAUGGGAAGGGGUGUAUGCCCUGACUCGAGCAAGCCAAGCCUCCAAGAAAAGUGUCUAGCGAGGUCCUAGGUGACCGUACCGCAAACCGACACAGGUGGCCGGGUAGAGAAUACCAAGGUGAUCGGGAGAACCCUCGUUAAGGAACUCGGCAAAAUAACCCCGUAACUUCGGGAGAAGGGGUGCUCACAGGUGCAGCUUGCUGUGCUUGUGAGCCGCAGUGAAAUGGCCCAGGCGACUGUUUAACAAAAACACAGGUCUCCGCUAAAGCGCAAGCUGAUGUAUGGGGGCUGACGCCUGCCCAGUGCUGGAAGGUUAAGAGGAGGGGUGCAAGCUCUGAAUCGAAGCCCCAGUGAACGGCGGCUGUAACUAUAACAGUCCUAAGGUAGCGAAAUUCCUUGUCGGGUAAGUUCCGACCCGCACGAAUGGCGUAACGAUCUGGGCACUGUCUCAACGAGGGAUCCGGCGAAAUUGAAAUACCAGUGAAGAUGCUGGUUACCCGCGCUGGGGCAAAAAGACCCCGUGGAGCUUUACUACACCCUGAUAUUGGAUUGAGGCUCGACCUGUGUAGGAUAGGUGGGAGGCUUUGAAGCUGGGGCGUUAGCCUCGGUGGAGCCGUCGUUGA